GUAGGGGGCAAGCGUUGUCCGGAUUUAUUGGGCGUAAAGAGCGUGUAGGCGGCCAGGUAGGUCGGUUGUGAAAACUGGAGGCUUAACCUUCAGACGUCGACCGAAACCAUCUGGCUAGAGUCCGGAAGAGGAGAGUGGAAUUCCUGGUGUAGCGGUGAAAUGCGCAGAUAUCAGGAAGAACACCCGUGGCGAAGGCGGCUCUCUGGGACGGUACUGACGCUGAGACGCGAAAGCGUGGGGAGCGAACAGGAUUAGAUACCCUGGUAGUCCACGCCGUAAACGAUGAGUGCUAGGUGUGGGAGGUGUCGACUCCUUCCGUGCCGAAGCUAACGCAUUAAGCACUCCGCCUGGGGAGUACGGCCGCAAGGCUAAA
rnacentral:rRNA from 1 species